GGCCCUGUAGCCUAGUCUGGAUAAGGCGACAGCCUUCUAAGCUGUAGAUCGCGAGUUCAAAUCUCGUCAGGGCCG
rnacentral:tRNA from 1 species